GACGAACGCUGGCGGCGUGCCUAAUACAUGCCAGUAGAACGCUGAAGAGAGGAGCUUGCUCUUCUUGGAUGAGUUGCGAACGGGUGAGUAACGCGUAGGUAACCUGCCUUGUAGCGGGGGAUAACUAUUGGAAACGAUAGCUAAUACCGCAUAACAAUGGAUGACACAUGUCAUUUAUUUGAAAGGGGCAAUUGCUCCACUACAAGAUGGACCUGCGUUGUAUUAGCUAGUAGGUGAGGUAACGGCUCACCUAGGCGACGAUACAUAGCCGACCUGAGAGGGUGAUCGGCCACACUGGGACUGAGACACGGCCCAGACUCCUACGGGAGGCAGCAGUAGGGAAUCUUCGGCAAUGGGGGCAACCCUGACCGAGCAACGCCGCGUGAGUGAAGAAGGUUUUCGGAUCGUAAAGCUCUGUUGUAAGUCAAGAACGAGUGUGAGAGUGGAAAGUUUACACUGUGACGGUAGCUUACCAGAAAGGGACGGCUAACUACGUG
rnacentral:rRNA from 1 species